UACUGAAGACAGAAGACCCACCCUGUGUAGGCGUGUCACCUGAAUGGUAUAAAAGGGAAAUGGAGAAGCAAGUCUCGCUUCUGGUUCUCCAGAGCAGCUCGUGUUCCCCUUGGACAUCUUCUCCUGGCUUCCAGCAUAGACCCUUCGGCCUCACAGACCUGAUACGGACUCACAGGGGACACUGCAGUGGUCUCCGGGCCUUCCACUGGGUCCUUCAGAUCUCCAGUGCACAGAUAGACCUUCUGUACUUUUCCACACUUGACACUGGGUAGCCAUGGAGAAAAUUAUGAAAAUACCUCAAGAAGUCUUUUGUUGCUAUGAAGAUCAAUCAGAUGGUAGAAUUUCUAGAGAACAGGAGUAACAUCCACGGAUUUUCCAACAAGAAGCCUGGCUUUCUUAGUGAUGACUGAGUAGGAGGGGAUAAGUGCAUAGUCAAGGGGAAAUGGAUACUUCCAUCUCUGCCUUUUGAUUGUAGGGAAUAGAGAGAGACUCAAGAACUGAAGAAAUUGUUGCAUCCUUUCAAUAAAAUGGAUUUAAGGGGAUGUGAGAAUGAGUAUUGGUUCUUUAUGCGAGCAUUGGUGAUGUGUUGUUCACCCUCUCCCCGUAUAUCUUUGGGUUGCCUCUUUACUGUUACUGGCUCAGAAAUGACAGAAAUAUGAGUCUCUCUGUGACCACAGCUCCAAGGAUCACUUACUAGCAUAAGCCA